GGAAGGGCUGUAGCUCAGUGGUAGAGCAUCUGCUUUUCAGGCAGAAAGUCUCAAGUUCAAUCUGCAGCUUCUCCA